CCGGCGCACGGGUGAGUAACACGUAUCCAACCUGCCUCAUACUCGGGGAUAGCCUUUCGAAAGGAAGAUUAAUCCAGGAUGGCAUCAUGAGUUCACAUGUCCGCAUGAUUAAAGGUAUUUUCCGGUAGACGAUGGGGAUGCGUUCCAUUAGAUAGUAGGCGGGGUAACGGCCCACCUAGUCAACGAUGGAUAGGGGUUCUGAGAGGAAGGUCCCCCACAUUGGAACUGAGACACGGUCCAA
rnacentral:rRNA from 1 species